AUUCCAUUGUGCUAACACUUUCUGACUAUCUCCUUGAAUCUUUCCCAAGCUUCAAAAACCAUUUCUCUCUCCUUCUGGUAAAAAUUAUGGAUUUCCAUUAUGAACUU
rnacentral:snoRNA from 1 species